AGAGUUUGAUCCUGGCUCAGGACGAACGCUGGCGGCGUGCUUAACACAUGCAAGUCGAACGAGAAUCUAUGGAAAGAGGAUUCGUCCAAUUGAAAUAGAGGACAGUGGCGGACGGGUGAGUAACGCGUGAGGAACCUGCCUUUCAGAGGGGGACAACAGUUGGAAACGACUGCUAAUACCGCAUGACACAUAGAGGUCGCAUGGUUUUUAUGUCAAAGAUUUAUCGCUGAAAGAUGGCCUCGCGUCUGAUUAGCUAGUUGGUGAGGUAACGGCCCACCAAGGCGACGAUCAGUAGCCGGACUGAGAGGUUGAACGGCCACAUUGGGACUGAGAUACGGCCCAGACUCCUACGGGAGGCAGCAGUGGGGAAUAUUGGGCAAUGGGCGCAAGCCUGACCCAGCAACGCCGCGUGAAGGAAGAAGGCUUUCGGGUUGUAAACUUCUUUUGUCAGGGACGAGCAGAAGACGGUACCUGACGAAUAAGCCACGGCUAACUACGUGCCAGCAGCCGCGGUAAUACGUAGGUGGCAAGCGUUGUCCGGAUUUACUGGGUGUAAAGGGCGUGUAGCCGGGAAGGCAAGUCAGAUGUGAAAUCCACGGGCUUAACUCGUGAACUGCAUUUGAAACUGUUGAUCUUGAGUAUCGGAGAGGCAAUCGGAAUUCCUAGUGUAGCGGUGAAAUGCGUAGAUAUUAGGAGGAACACCAGUGGCGAAGGCGGAUUGCUGGACGACAACUGACGGUGAGGCGCGAAAGCGUGGGGAGCAAACAGGAUUAGAUACCCUGGUAGUCCACGCUGUAAACGAUGAAUACUAGGUGUGCGGGGACUGACCCCCUGCGUGCCGCAGCUAACGCAAUAAGUAUUCCACCUGGGGAGUACGAUCGCAAGGUUGAAACUCAAAGGAAUUGACGGGGGCCCGCACAAGCGGUGGAUUAUGUGGUUUAAUUCGAAGCAACGCGAAGAACCUUACCAGGGCUUGACAUCCUACUAACGAGAUAGAGAUAUGUUAGGUGCCCUUCGGGGAAAGUAGAGACAGGUGGUGCAUGGUUGUCGUCAGCUCGUGUCGUGAGAUGUUGGGUUAAG
rnacentral:rRNA from 1 species